rnacentral:lncRNA from 1 species
CUCAUUUUUGGUACAAAAUUGAACAUUCAUCACUCAUUUUUGGUACAAAAAUUGAACAUUCAUCGCUCAUUUUUGGUACAAAAAUCGAACAUUCACCGCUCAUUUUUGGUACAAAAAUCGAACAUUUACCGCUCAUUUUUGGUACAAAAAUCGAAAAUUCAUCGCUCAUUUUUGGUACAAAAAUCGAACAUUCACCGCUCAUUUUUGGUACAAAAAUCGAACAUUUACCGCUCAUUUUUAGUACAAAACUUGAACAUUUUUUGCCCGUUUUUGGUACAAAACUUCGCCACUUUUUGCCCGUUUUUGGGUGAAAAUCCGGCGGAUUCGGGGUCGCGCCCCUAGAGCAGCGUGCAGCGCUCGGGGCGGGUCCCGCCAGGAUUUGGGGACAUUGGGGAUGUCCCGACAGGAUUUGGGGAUAUUGGGGAUGUCCCGACAGGAUUUGGGGACACCGAGGGGGUCGCGGCAGGAUUUGGCGAUAUUGGGAAUGUCGUGACAGGAUUUGGGGACACUCUGGAUGUCGUGACAGGAUUUGGGGACACUCUGGAUAUCCCGCCAGGAUUUGGGGAUAUUGGGGAUGUCCCGCCAGAACUCGGGGACACUCUGGAUGUCCCGCCAGAACUCGGGGACACUCUGGAUGUCGUGACAGAAUUUGGGGACACCCUGGAUGUCCCGCCAGAACUCGGGGACACCCUGGAUGUUGUGACAGGAUUUGGGGACAUUGGGGAUGUCCCGCCAGAACUCGGGGACACUCUGGAUGUCGUGACAGAAUUUGGGGACACUCCGCAUAUCCCGCCAGAACUCGGGGACACUCUGGAUGUUGUGACAGGAUUUGGGGACACUCUGGAUGUUGUGACAGGAUUUGGGGACACCGCGCUGCUCCCGCCAGAACUCGGGGACACUCCGCAUGUCCCGCCAGAACUCGGGGACACCGCGCUGCUCCCGCCAGAACUCGGGGACACCCUGGAUGUCCCGCCAGGAUUUGAGGACACCGCGCUGCUCCCGCCAGAACUCGGGGACACCCUGGAUGUCCCGCCAGGAUUUGGGGACACCGCGCUGCUCCCGCCAGAACUCGGGGACA